CUGAAGCGCGACAACAAACUCUUCUCGCCUCUAUUCCAGCUGCUGCCAAUAUGAUUACCACUCAAAGUUCUCAAAACAAUGGAGAAACUCCCUCUUACAGACCACCCAAUCCUUCUUCUUUUCGAGGUCGAGGAAGGGGUCGAUCUAAUAAUUCUAGGCUCCAAUGCCAACUUUGCGGAAAGCCCGGGCAUCUGGUAGAUCGAUGCUACUUUCGUUUCGAUCAAAACUAUAAGGCUUCUACUUACAGACCUCCCUCUUCACAACCGGGAACACAAGCUCCUCAAGCCUAUGUUGCUACCUUCAACACCCCUCAAUGGACACCAACUGGUGGGUCAUCCUCUGUGCAUAAUAGUGGGACAGCACCAUGGGCCCCACCUC
rnacentral:lncRNA from 1 species